rnacentral:lncRNA from 1 species
CUUUUCCCAUUGCAAUAAGGAAAUUUUAAAAAAUACUCUAGGUUAGUCAGUUUCAAAAUACGUUAGAUUAAUUUUAUGUUUCCCCUUUCCUUCAAAUUUUUAUAUUCACCUCUGUUCCUCAACAGCUUAACAAAUUAUCAUGCCAUUUCUUUGAAUCUGACUAACAUGAUGUACUAUAUUUCUGUGGUAUUUGGCCUCUUGUGGAGAGUAGUCUUAUUCGCAAUCAUACCACAUCUUCUUUUUUUACAUAGCACCUCUUUCAUUUCUUCGUGAACAAAUUUAAGGUUUCAUUAUACAUGACAUCAAUUAUAUGUAUUUGCACACAUCUGUCCAAAUUAUGUUUCAGUUCUCCUCC